CCGCCUAGCACUUUCUUGAACACUGGGCAUUUCUCGUCACCAUCCCGUCGUCGUUUUAAAAAUAUAUUUCAUUGUUUCUUGUCUCGGUCCUGAUAUACAGCUUUGCUUUUCUCCUCAACUUUCACUUGCUACUACUAUCAAUCGGUGACCAUUGAUUAACAGUCGGGUUGGAUAGAAGAAGGCACUUGUUUUUAUUUUGGAUCUGCAUUUACAAGAAUCUGCUGCUCCAGGUUUGUAUACCUUGUCAUCAUUCCGAUUGGGUUGUCAUUGUCGGUAAUUUAUUUCCCCAUGCUUUGUAUGGUUUAGAUCACGAUAAUUGCUUCAACAAUUCAUACAUCUCUGAGGGUUGUGUCGUAAUAACGUUUGGGUUCUCAAUUUCCGUAUUGACUUGGGGUGCUCAGUAGGGUUUAGAUCUCAAUAAUCUAUUACAGAAGUCAUACAUCUCUGAGGUUUGUGUCGUAAUAACGUUUGGGUUCUCAAUUUUCAUACUGGACUUGGGGGUGCUCUGUAGGGUUUAGAUCUCAAUAAUCUAUUACAAAAGUCAUACAUCUCUGAGGUUUGUGUCGUACUAACGUUUGGGUUCUCAAUUUCUGUAUUGGACUUGGGGGUGCUCUGUAGGGUUUAGAUCUCAAUAAUCUAUUACAAAAGUCAUACAUCUCUGAGGUUUGUGUCGUACUAACGUUUGGGUUCUCAAUUUCUGUAUUGGACUUGGGGGUGCUCUGUAGGGUUUAGAUCUCAAUAAUCUAUUACAGAAAUCAAGGUCAUAACCGAGGUUUGUGUCGUAAUAACGUUUGUGUUCUCAUUGGCUUCUUCUAUGUUGGACAUGAUCUGUAGGGUUUAGAUCCCUACGAUAUGCCAUUAGUAGACACAUUAACAUUCCAUUUGCAAGGGUACAUUGUUGGAGACGGUAACCAAAUAAUAGUUGCUCUGUCUUACAAUGUCAUAGGAGCCAUGCUAGACAGGAUUUUCGCUCUUAACUGCUACCCAGACUACGCAGUUCGAACUAACUCUUAUUCCAAACCGAAAUACUUGAUAGACAUUUCCAAAAUACAUCACGGGAUGCCAGAGUUACCGAGGUUAUUGGCUUCCCUGCUAGGGAAUCUAUUUUCUCUGCAUGUUCGUCAAUGCUCAUUAUCGGGUCAGUUGGUCCACAAGAUGCUUUGUAGGCAGUUUAUACAGAUAACACUGAUGAGUUGUGGUUCGUUUUUGGGGGGCAUCCUUUAAGGUUCUCCCUUCAAGAGUUCGAAGAUGUAACUGGAAUAUGGUGUCACCCUUUACCUCCGGAGAAUGAACUCAUCGCUGCAACCACUCAUUCUGAAGGUGGCUGCCCUUACUGGUAUACAUUACUGCUCGGCCCACUUGGUUGUAUGUCAAUUAAAGAAAUAGUCAACCACCUCAAGUCUGAAUCAAAUAUGCCCAUGUGGCGUAAAUGUAGACUUUGUCUCAUUGUUAUUGUAGAAGGAAUACUUCUGUGUCGGAACCACCCAGUCAAACCAUCUGCGGAAGUUGUUGAGAUGGUUAAAGAUGUUGAUUUCUUUCUCAACUACCCUUGGGGUCGCCACUCAUUUACAAGACUGCUAAGGAUGGUAAAACUUGGAAGAUAUUUGCCAACCACACCGGUGUUGCUUUCUAAGCUUAUACAAUCAUCUAUGGCUGUCCACGGGUUCCCUCUAGCAAUCCAGUUGUUUGCAUUUAAAUAUGUGCCCUUGUUGCUAAAAUACCUCCCUCAUUGGCGAGAUUUGACGACAUUCGUUGACACAUCUAUUGUGGUUCUUCCAAAAUGCAAGUCCUACCAUACAUCAAACAUUUUCGAUGUGGAAAAUGAUCCCGAGCUCUUCGUUAUGUCUCCCAAACCUCGCCAUUAUGUCUUCUUAACCGCGUCAUAUUGCGACCCCAAAGUCAAACAUUUAGAGAGUCUUAUUGCUGCGGGCUUUCAAUUUAUGAAAGAAACUUGGUGUGGAGGUGAUUCUUUGAUACCUCACCUCCUCUAUGCACAGAAACGUAAACUACUCGAUCAAUGCCGUUCGAGUGACCUUUCGAAUAAAGAGAGGAGUAGGAAAAAAUACAAAAAUGCAGGUCGCACCCUAAGGAAGGUUGAGGACGUUGAUUCUGCCCUGGAGGAAAAGCUUAUGACCUUCAAGGCGUCUCUUAUGGGUGAAGUUCUUGAGCUUUUCCACAACCGUCAGUCCACAUAAUCUAUUAUCAGUUUACAUCAACCAGCUUAAAUCCCUGAUAAGGCUAAGAACAACCAAAAUAAUACUUCCCUUCCCUCUUCCUCUAUGAUGUAUUCUUACAUCUCGCUUGUCAAUACUGCUUCUACCAAGUCUAAAGUUUGUCUCUCUCUUUUACAUUUUAUCGGACUAUGUCCUCGAUACAUCCCUUACUGUGUUAUGUGUUUCUUCACUUCCUAUUCGUAAGAAUACGAAGUUUUCAAUGUUAUGCUUGACCUUCCUAGUGGUCUCUAACUUAACUUAACGGUACAUCUUGGCAGCCAUGACUCCACACAUUAUCACCGGCUGCACUCAAGGGCAUCAGUCCUGUUACUCUCUCUGAAACAGCCUUCUCGUAUAUCAUUGCUACAGGAAGCCGCAAAGUACUCUCAAAUCCUACGCUUGUUUACAAAAUGAAGAGGGCGGUGAUUUGGUUCAUGUCACACAACCAACAAGGCGACGUCUGAACAUGUCGUUCCCAAGUCACCACCACCAUUACAUGUUAAUUCAAAGGGGAAGUCUAUGGCGUUCACUGCCAAUGAGAGUGAAGGUACGGGAAAAUUGCCCGGCCAAGCAGACGUGUCUGACCUCCAUAACAUCGACCCACAAGGUUCCACCUCUGGUCUUGCAAUGCACCUAAGAGUAAAACCAACCCUUUUCUCCCCCUCACUCCUCUAGUAGAGCCCACUGCCCGCAGCACACAGUCAAAUGGCCGGAAUUCAAAGACUAUAGUCCAUGCCUAAUACAUGCGCAGGAAGACUCGGCAACUUCGUUGCAAACAGAUUCAGGUUGAGCCCAAUUCUGAUUGAUCAAGACUUUGUUUUAUAAACAGUUCCUAUUUUUUUAACUCUCUUUACUUUCUUUCUUUCUAAUAACAAUGUUUUCAUUACAUACCAAGUUACACGGUUUAAAAGUUGAUGAAAUGUUAUAAAGCUCGUGUAAAACCGCUUCAUUUA